AGCAAAAUUAGGUAGUUGUAGUAAUAGUUAUAAUAAAUUGAAUAAUAAUUUUAUUUAGAUUAUACUUCUCUUACUAGGGGCUCUAUGAUGUAGAUAAGGUCUCUGUACCUUUUGCAUAAUGGUUAUACUAAACUUCAAGCUUAUGGGCUUAUUCUCGAUAUGGGGGGAUCUAACUAGAUUAAUCUGUUAGAAUAAGUAUUCUCCUUGUGUCAAUAAGGCUUAUUUAAAAGUAGUUAGGGGUGAAAGGCUUAUCAACUCUCAGGAUAUCUGGAUGACUAAACAAAUAUAUUAAGUAUAUAAGACAGAAGGCAAGUAAUAUGGCUUGCCUUUAAUUAAAUAGGUAUAUUAAUAACUUUAUUACUUAGGUAAAACCUUAUUAUUUGACUAGCACAUCACCUAAAAUAAGUGUAUUAAAUUAUUAAUAUUUUAUUAGUCCACUUUUAAUAACCAAAAAUAAAGUUAGAUUAUGUAUAAAUUAGUAGAUUAGUGAUUAAUUUUACAGAAGGAACUCGGCAAAAUAUAUAUAUUUCCGUCUGUUUAUCAAAAACAUAGCCUGAAGAGACGAGAUUUUAGGUGAGCCCUGCCUAGCGACACUAAGUCUAGCGGCCGCAGUACCUUGACUGUGCUAAGGUAGCGUAAUAAUUUGUCCUUCAAUUAAGGUCUUGAAUGAACGGGUCUACGAGAAAUAUUCUGUCUCCUGUAUAAAUUCUGUAGAAGUUGCUAAAAAGGUGAAAAUUCCUUUAGUAAAAGAAAAUAGACGAGAAGACCCUUAGAAUUUUGAUAAAGAUUAUUAACCAAGUGAUAGUUUAGUUUUCGUUGGGGCGACGAGGUAGCAGAACCAGAGAACCUACCUAUUAAAAUUAGAUGCACCGAAUUUUAUUAAAUAUAGCUAAAAUUACCUAAGGGAUAACAGCAUAAUACUUGAUAGUGUUUGUGACCUCGAUGUUGGACUAGGGACUGAUUGGUUAACCACCAGGAUAGAUGAUUCUGUUCGAAUCCCACACCCU
rnacentral:rRNA from 1 species